rnacentral:misc_RNA from 1 species
AAUUCUUUUUUUCUUUUUUUUUUUGUCUGAACUAGCUGAAUUCAAUAACCACAGCUUAGUAAGAUAAAAAGGUGAAGAAAUUCCAUGAGUAAGUAUGACCUAAAGAAAUGUAUUCAUCAAAUAUCGAGGCAUACCUGUUACAAUUCAUUUUAUUAUUUGCCUACUAAUCCAGUACAAGUCAGCACAAAGCCUAGUUAGGCACAGUGUGUUCCAUGAUGAUCAUCGUCUCUAUUCAUUAUACAAUUACAACACGGGAGGGAGAGGAGAAAGAAGGAUGACCCAAUUUAGGCAGAAGAAUUGGUUGCUUAAAGCAAGAAAUGAGGAGAUGAAAAUACUAGCUUUUAAAGGCAGCUUUCAAUAUUACUAGAAAGGCACUCCAUCCUUUCCACUGCUUAAACAGGAUACAAAAUUACUAGAAAGGCCCUCCAUCCUUUCCACUGCUUAAAUGGGAUACAAAAUAAGCAAGCAAAACAUAAGAAAACCUUAAUUCAAUAGAUGAAAGAGUUCUAAAAAGUACAAGAUAUGCAUGAUAGUCAUCAUAGCAUUCACAUUAACAAGGAAAACACAUAAUCUGCAAAAGGCUUUUUGAUUUCAAACUCAUAGAAAGGAGGGAAAGGUCAUAUGGAGUUCCCUUUAUGGGCAGGGGAAAGGUAAUGAUUUUAAGAUUCUUCAACACUUGAGAAGGCUUUUCAAAUUCCUCAUGCCUUUCAUCAAGCAUGCAGAUACAAUGAGGAAUUGAAUCUGUCUCUCUCAAAAUACAUAUAAUAAUCAUAGUUAACAAGGGGAAAAAAAGUUUAAUAUCUCCAAAAUUCAACAAGCAAUAAGAAAAGAACAAAAUAAUUCUUAUCAUUCUCAUAGCUCCUGUCAGUAUCAAACCACGGGUAAUCAACUAUAUCACAUGCAUCAUCUUCCGAAAUAAGAAAUAGUAUAUUAUACCCAGGCUGACAGCAACAAAGACAU